CUUUCACUUGGCAGCUCAGAAGUCUUAAACAGGGGGGGUUUUGGUACGGUCACUUAACAAAGCAGAUUCACAUUUAAAUCCUCAGAAGUUUUCUUCGCGGCCCAAGGAAAAAAUAGUUAUCCAACACGUUGUCAUUUCAAGGAAAGGGAAUAAAACAGCUAUGAGAAAAACAAGGGCCACUCCACCUCACCCAGCCAAGCAGCAUGGCAGGGAACACUCCGAGUGAGUAAGGGCGCUGUCACUGGGGCUGGCCCGGGGAGGAAUCACGACUUGUCACGUCACUACUACAGGGGCCUUCCUCAAAACGUGAGUGUCUGGAUUGCUCCUGGCAUUAAUGCAAAUCUGCUCUGUUAAUGAAGUUAGGCUGGUGCCAAGCCAGUUGCAGAGGAGAGACAGGCCCACUUCACACUGAUGCAACAGACUGCAGCUGAAGGACCCCUCCCCAUAAAGGCAAAAUUUAGGAAGUUUUCAGGUUAUGUUGGGCAAGUCACCCCUUGGGAAAAGGACUGAUUUUCUAUUACAUGUCAAUCUCACAGCUGAUUUAUUUUUGUUUCCCUCCCUCUAUUUAUAGAUAAAAGCAAGACAAGAUGUAGUAAAGAUUUGAUUUUCUCUAGAAAUUCACUGACCUGCAUACACUUGAGUGCUCACUGAGUAAAGGCAUUCUUUACUAGGACUUAUUUACAAGAGUGCUUGCCUUCAGAAACAGAAACUUCAUGUGGAGGAUUCCCAGAAUAAUGCUGGCCUUUCCUCUUAACAAAAAUUCAGUAGAUUUGUUUUUCAGAUGCCUGAGAUAGAUGAUUUUGGAGCCCCGUGAGGUUUGGUAAACCUUCAAUUCAGCAGUUAGUUUCCAUAUGAUAUAAAUUACAAAGAUCGAGCAAUUAAUAUUAAUAAAUAAACCUGGCAGAGUACUGAGGCUUUGGAUGCCCUGCGCAUGGAAGCACUGCUGUAUUUGCUGGGGUUUUCCAUGCCUCUGCUUUAUUUUAGCUGCUCUGUACGUACAGCACACGACAACAUACACCACAUUCGUGUUCUAAAAAUACAUUGAGGGGGAAAAAAAAAAAGACAAAUCAAUAGCAGUGAAACAGAGACAUAACCAUUUCACAUCGAGCGCUCCCAAUACCAAGCCAAGACACCAGAACUCCCCGCUGCGGACCACGGCUUCCCUCUUACAAACACGCAUGUUCCUGCCACGGCAAGUGAAGCCCAGGUGACAGCGAAACAGCCAGGACUGACAGGGCGGGGAGGAGGAUGGAGCACCUGGAAGUACAAAAGGUCCUGGCAAAGUAGAGCAUCAGUUUAAGAAGGGGAGUAAAGAAAAUUUCCUAUAAAAUCAAGAAUGUUUCUUACGGAGACUCCUGGUCCAGCCUCUGAGCUGCUUCUCCAACAUAUGAAGUAUUUCUUGGUCUUUCCUCCGCACUGAGAAGAUUUCAUUGUAAUGUUAAGAAGGAUUAAAAAGAAAAUCUGCAUCAGCCCUUUCUCCCAGAUCAGGAGAACUACUUUGUGAGUCACACGGAGAGCUGGGACAGCAGUAAACAUAAAGGAAGCACUCUAACCCUAUGCAGAUGAAAGCCAUUUAAGCCAAAAAAAGAAUCUUCAAGUUCCAAUAGGGAAAGUCAAAAUCCCUAAUUUAGAAGCACCAGCAGGGUGGACAUUGGAAACAUGCAGAUUCACUCACUGGAAAGCUCCCAAGAUCUACAAGCGCUGAAAUGAAAACAUGACACAAUGGAUCAGUCAACAAUUACUACUGAAUAAGCCAGCGGGCUUCAGGGUUAAUCACUGCAGCCAUCCAUGAACUCUCACAGGGUGGAAAACCAGUUAGCUUUGCCUACAACAUCUUUGGGAUGAUGUCCAUUUGUAUGGUGGGAGGUUCAUGUGGUCUGUUGUCUUCUCAUAGGAAAAAGCAUUGUCAUCUGGAGAUAUGUCAAGAGAGGAAGGAUAACUGUUUGGAUCAAACAUUCAAGAGAGGAAAAAAAGGAAGGGGAAAUGAGGGGGAAUUCUAAUGGUGUCAUUGAUGAGGAAGCUUAACACCAGCAUCCCUGUGUCAAAGUGUUGUUCUGGAAGGGUUGGCUAUCACCAAACAGCCUCAGCACGGGUUCAAGAACUUUCAGUAGGAUCUACAGUUCUGGAGGUGUGCUCACUGCUCUGAGCAAGGUCAGUCCCACAAGGACAUGGGGGGAUACUCCAAGAGAAGAGGAGUCCACCGUCAAAUGGUGGAAAAGGUUCUGUGUUGGUUCUUGCACUGGUCUCAUACAUGUGCUGCUAUCAAUGAGUUUUCUGAUUUAAUACAUUCUUCCUGUUCACACUUUCCUGAAUUUCUCCCCUUGCUUUCAGUUUGCACAAGGGAACAGCAUUUGUUGUUUGGUUUUAGAAUAUUUUCUCAACUGAAACAAGGAAUAGAUUUCCAUAUUUUUAUAUUUAUUUUAUAAUUUUCUGUUGUCAUUUAUUUUCUGCUUUUCUCUUUCCCUUUUCAUGGAUAAAUUGAAAGAAAAAAGGUGAGAUCAGGAGAGAAUGGCAGGGAAAAAUACAAGGAAAAAAUGAAGUGUGACAUUUUCACAAAUAAUUUUCUGAAAAUAUUAAUUAAAAACCAUUUUAGAAAUGCUUCUGAUGGAGAAAGAAACAAUUACAUCAGACAGUAGCUUGUUUAUUAUUCACAAACCUAUUUGCAGAAAAAAAAAAUCAAACCUGAUUUUAAAAGAUCUACAUUGUUUUUUGUCCCUUUUGAGGUUUGUGGAACUAUAUGCAUUUAAAAGUGUUUGCAGACACUUGUUUCCCUGUUUAGUCUCUGUUUCCUAUAUCUGUUGAUUUGAUGGGACAUUGAUUCACAGACUUACACAAACCAAGUGUUACUCAAAGGGAAAGUUACCAGGGAAAAAAAUACAAAAUCAAUAACAACUUGCUGGUAUCGUGAGUCUAAUUUCAGUGCAAGAGUGAAUCAAGAAUUUUCAUCAAGAUCUAAAGUGGAUGGUGGUGUACACAACUGCUUGUCAGUGGUGUUGUUACCUAUUUACACACAGACAAUUCCCAGGAGCUCCAGCCACGCUAUAGUAGCGAUCUUCAGGUCUAUCCAUAAGACUGGAAAACAGAAAAGUCUUAUUAAAUCGGAA